UUGAAAGGGAAACGAUUGAAGUCAGUCGUACCGACGAGAAAUCAACCUAUCGUGUGCGAACUUGUGGGCGUGCGUGAGUUUCGGCCUCGCUGUUUGCAUGUUUGUGCGUUUUGGGUGUACUUUUUCGUAUGGUAGGCCAACGUCAGUUUCGAUUAUCAUAAAAUGACCGGCGGAAUGUAGCUUCGAUUUCGGUUGAAGUGUUAUAGCCUCUGGUAGAUGUGGUGAUUGAGACUGAGGAUUGCAACGAAUACCCUUUGGGCUAUCCGUCUGGCCUCUGAAAGUUGCUCAGGUGCCGAAAGCGUGCUUACGGUCAUCUAAGAUAACGUUCAACAGGUUAGAACGUGAUUACAUUCGUUAAGGAUGUUGAC
rnacentral:rRNA from 1 species